GGGGAAUUUUGCGCAAUGGGGGCAACCCUGACGCAGCGACGCCGCGUGGGUGAUGAAGGCUUUCGGGUCGUAAAGCCCUGUCUGGGGGGAAGAUAGUGACGGUACCCCCGGAGGAAGCCCCGGCUAACUACGUGCCAGCAGCCGCGGUAACACGUGGGGGGCGAGCGUUGUCCGGAAUUAUUGGGCGUAAAGAGCGCGUAGGCGGUCUUUCAAGUCAGCUGUGAAAUCCCCCGGCUCAACCGGGGAGUUGCAGUUGAAACUGGGAGGCUUGAGUGCAGAAGAGGAGGGUAGAAUUCCUGGUGUAGCGGUGAAAUGCGUAGAUAUCAGGAGGAAUACCGGUGGCGAAGGCGGCCUUCUGGUCUGCUACUGACGCUGAGGCGCGAAAGCUAGGGGAGCGAAC
rnacentral:rRNA from 1 species